UGUAGGAGCGAGCUUGCUCGCGAAAGUAUUCCAGGCAGCAUUGCUGCCUUGGCUGUACUUUUUUCGCGAGCAAGCUCGCUCCUACA
rnacentral:misc_RNA from 1 species